rnacentral:rRNA from 1 species
AACGAACGCUGGCGGCAGGCCUAACACAUGCAAGUCGAACGCUGUAGCAAUACAGAGUGGCAGACGGGUGAGUAACGCGUGGGAACGUGCCCUUUGGUUCGGAAUAACCCAGGGAAACUUGGGCUAAUACCGGAUACGUCCGUAAGGAGAAAGAUUUAUCGCCAAAGGAUCGGCCCGCGUCGGAUUAGCUAGUUGGUGGGGUAAUGGCCCACCAAGGCGACGAUCCGUAGCUGGUCUGAGAGGAUGACCAGCCACACUGGGACUGAGACACGGCCCAGACUCCUACGGGAGGCAGCAGUGAGGAAUAUUGGACAAUGGGCGCAAGCCUGAUCCAGCCAUGCCGCGUGAGUGAAGAAGGCCUUAGGGUUGUAAAGCUCUUUCAGCGGAGAAGAUAAUGACGGUAUCCGCAGAAGAAGCCCCGGCUAACUCCGUGCCAGCCGCCGCGGUAAAAC